rnacentral:rRNA from 1 species
UACAGAGGGUGCAAACGUUGCUCGGAAUUACUGGGCGUAAAGCGCGUGUAGGCGGAACGAUAAGUCGGGCGUGAAAUCCCCGGGCUCAACCCGGGAACUGCGCUCGAAACUGCCGUUCUGGAGUAUCGGAGAGGGUGGCGGAAUUCCUGGUGUAGAGGUGAAAUUCGUAGAUAUCAGGAGGAACACCGGUGGCGAAGGCGGCCACCUGGACGAUUACUGACGCUGAGACGCGAAAGCGUGGGGAGCAAACAGG